UGUUAAAUAUUCAAAUAUGAUUUAAAAUUGCAAAUUUUAAGGUACAUUAAUGUUUUAACUU
rnacentral:tRNA from 1 species